CCCUUAGAUGUCCUGGGCCGCACGCGCGUUACACUGAUGCAUUCAACGAGCUUAUAACCUUGGCCGAUAGGUCUGGGUAAUCUUUGAACGCUGUUCGUGAUUGGGAUAGACCUUUGCAAUUAUGGGUCUUCAACGAGGAAUUCCUAGUAAACGCAAGUCAUCAGCUUGCAUUGAUUACGUCCCUGCCCUUUGUACACACCGCCCGUCGCACCUACCGAUUGAAUGGUCCGGUGAAAUCUCGGGACGGCGGCUUGGUCGCUUGCGUCCGACUGCUGAAACUUGAUUAAACCAUAUCAUUUAGAGGAAGGUGAANUCGUAACA
rnacentral:rRNA from 1 species